ACGUUUCUGACAAGAUUCCUCACGACCUGAGACCUGCAUGCUAAAGAACAAGAAGGUUUCUGACAUGAGAAGCCUCACAACCUGCCUCUCCCUCCUGAACUUGUUUUUGGCUCUACCUGCUUGCUGCCUAAGGCUGGCCUCUCUGCUGCUGCUCUCUCCCCUGAGAAGGUGUCUGCUAUCAGAUCCCUCACUACGAAAGGCCCGUGUGCUGAUGGACUCUCCAGGGCCUGCUACCAGAGACCUGCUGCUUCCUCCCGGACUUCUUCCUGGACCUACUCAGUACCUGCACCUUCUUGCUGCCCAAGACCAGCCACACUGCUGCUGCUCUUCCCCUGCACUUUUGCCCCGGACCAUUGGAAUGUCAUGCAACAGGAUUACUGCCGGAUCCUGGCGGAGGUGUGAACCCUACCACAUCAACAGCAUGAAAAGCAAAGUAUGCACUCAAGCUGCUUUCUGAACCCUUCAGUCAGGAUGCAUCUGUCAGAAGAUGAAUUUAUUCACUCAAGUUAAAAAAGAAAGGAAGAAAGCAAGCAAGCAAGAAAGAAAGAACGAAAGAAGAGAAAAAAGAGUUGAAAAUGUACAUUGUAACAUUUCUUAUAAGUUUCUUUCAAAAAAAUUAUGAAGUGUAAAAUAUAAAAAAUAUACAAUUCAGGACAAAAUUGAAUUAAGAUAGAGCUAGAAGAAUUGAAAUUUCAAGCUAAAUAGAUUUUAACAAUGUGUCCAACCUGUUAAGGCUGCUUGCUGCACAGAGUCUAUCUUAUGCAUGGUGAGAGUGGAUUUCUCAUGGCAGUACUAUUGCAGUGUGUACCCAGGAUAUAAAAAUAAAAAUGACUAAUGGUGCAUAGAAGUCAUUGUGAAAUUAGAUCUGUAAUUCUAUAUAAAUGCCUAGUGCCCAAGGUUAACAUUUCCCCAACUAACCUCAGUUCUGCUGCCUUAGAAUAAUCCUUGGCUAUUUAAACAACAGUGCUUGUCAUAAACAACAUAUGGGCUGAAUUCACAAAGAGUGUUUUGAGGAAACUUUCAGAGUCAUCAUUGCUGUCUCUAACCAGACUAGAACAGAAGGUGAUGAACCAAGCAAAAUACUAUUAGCCUUAUACAUUCAACCUAUGCAGUAUUGUUAGAAAAAGCUGAAAAGGUUCAUUAGAAUCUGUUACUGUGUAGCACUGAGGACAUGUGCAGGGAAGACAGAGCAGCAACAUGCUUGAUAAAAAUCAAAACAAAAAAACAAAGAACAAUCAGGUUUUAGCAAUUCUGUUCUAAUUUUUUGCCAACUAUUUUUCGCUUAUUACUUUUUUUGCCAGUCAGAUCAAUAAAAUUGUUUAUCCUCAUUCUCAAAGACUGAAUGGGUGAAGAUCUUAAGCCAGGGUGAAGGAGAAAACAGAAACAUAUAAAAAUGUAAUAACCAUUUAAAACUUAUCUUUUAAUUCAUUAAUAAUGAGUUGAGUGUUUCUAGACAAAAAUGAUAAAUACUUUGUAUGACUAAUAACACCAGUAAAUACAAUAAUAUCUAAAUAUGUCCAUCUUACAGGAUCAUUUAUCCAGCAUAAAUUUUGCACUAAAUUUCUUUUGAUAAUAAGAAAAACAUAAAUGUUCUCCUCUCAAAAUAUUUAACAAAUUUAUAUUUGUUCUUUGCUCAUUUCUAUUUCUUUCUUCAGAGUGCAUGGAUAUUUUGUUUAGACUCAUAGUAUUACUGUGUGGCAGAUCCAGCAUCCUAUUUCCUCCUUUUCUCUUCUGACCUUCAGUCAAGAACAAAAAUGCAAAAAGAAAUGUAUUACUAAGAUUGGAUAUAGGUGGAUUUUGAGUAUUUAAUACUAAGGUUACGAUUUUUAAAAGCCCAAUUAAGCUCUAACCCUAGCCUUCUUUAUUUUCUGACACAUUUUCUGACAACUCCAUAAUCAUGUAUAUAUAUAUAAGAAAACACCUAAACUAAACCUUUCUUAUAUCUAGAAAGCAGGCAGCAUCAGACUGCCUGAAGGCUUAACUUACAAAGCUUAAUCUGCAUAGCAGCAUUAAGUUCAGCAAAAAGUACAAUAUUCAUGACCUCUGUUGUUAAAAAUGACUGUGACAGUGAGUGUAUCAUAGAUUCAUAAUCAGAACAUUUUCCUACUCGAUAAACUUUGAUUCUUGGCUUGCUGCAGCAUGAGAGUACCUGUGUUUCCUACCAUUCAGGAAAAACUUUAAUCAUCAAAUUACAGGCUACAAUUUAUGUCAGGAACAGCCCUUUGCCUAGGCCAAUUAAUCCUGCUUUAAUGAUCAGACUAUCACCUAAGCAACUAGGGGAUAUUUUCCUAAUUUUAGAAAAAGAACACUGAAUUGUCAAGAAAAUAAUGACUAUAAACAGAAAGUCAAAAAGUAGUGGAGAACUGAAGCCAUAAUUCUGGGUGUAUAGUCAUAAGAACUUCACUCAUAUUCAUCUAGAGAGUCCAUGCUGAGACAAUUCUCAAAGUCUGAAACUAACAGUCUACAAUGGAAAACCAGCAAACAAGCAAAGAUUAUCUAUCAACAUGGCUGAUACUAGUAUUAAAUCUAGGAUAAACCUAAAAUUAAAUCACACUUUCAUACAGUUUAAAAGAAGCCCACUGAAUUUUUUUCUAUUCUUUCAUUUCAGCAAGAGCCUGUGAACCAGUCUCAAGGCCAUGUAAAACUAAUUUUAGGAAAAAAAAAUAAAACACUAGGAAAAAAUUCUUCUUGGAAAGAGCAGCAAUGCAUUGGAACAGGCUGUCCAAGGAAAUGGUGGAGUCAGUGUCCCUGUAGGUGUUCAAGAAAUGUGUGGAUGUGUCACUGAGAGACAUGGUUAGUGGACAUGGUGGGGAUACGUCAACCAUUGGACGAGAUGAUAUUAAAUGUGGCCUUUUCCAGCCUCAAAGGUUCUAUGAACGCAUGACUCUAUAUUGUAUCUAAAUAGUCCCUGAAGAUUCAUUUUCAAAUGCUCAUUAAGUAGGACCUGAAUUUUGAAAUACAGAAAAUAUCUCAAAUUAAAAAUAAAAAUAAAAAUCAGCAAGCCUGGAAAAGUCAAUUAAAAAAAAGUACACCAUACAGUAGUUAAAAUUGACUUUAUCUGUGCAAUGCCUGGUUUCAAAAUUAAUUCCUUGUCUAGAAGAUUCUACAAAACCUACAUUCACCUACAAAUUCUACACUCACCUACAACUUCUACACUCCUGUAUUAUGGAGAUCAAAGUAAGCACAGGCAUGAUCUGAUAGAAGAGUCAGAUAGCUUAAUAAACAACAUUUCAACAUAUGCCAACAUUGAAAGCAGAGAGGAUUUCUUGUAUUAUUUUUCUCAGUUACAAAAGGUACAGUUUCCCACAAUAUAGAGACAAUGAUGGCUCUAGUCCCAUCUUACAGUCACUAGAAUAUUGACUCUAGUAUUGACUAAAUAUUGUAGAACAUCCAAUAUUCCCUAAUAAAAGCAUUACAAAAUACCAGAGGCUUAAAUCAUUAUAGCGUACUAGGGACUAAUAUAAAUAUGUAUACAUAUAAUCAGCUUCUUCAGUGUCUAUAGCAGCUUAUGUUUUAGCUUAAUUCUCCUGGUCAAGAUACUCUGCCCUGAAGUUUUGACGAAGUGAUCACUACAUUUGGUCCAAAGUAUCACAUAAUGUUUCUAUGUGGCAUUAAAAUAAAACAUUUCAAAGAUAAAC
ensembl:lncRNA